GAUGAACGCUGGCGGCGUGCCUAAUACAUGCAAGUCGAGCGAACAGACGAGGAGCUUGCUCCUCUGACGUUAGCGGCGGACGGGUGAUUAACACGUGGAUAACCUACCUAUAAGACUGGGAUAACUUCGGGAAACCGGAUCUAAUACCGGAUAAUAUAGUGAACCGCAUGGUUCAAUAGUGAAAGACGGUUUUGCUGUCACUUAUAGAUGGAUCCACGCCGCAUUAGCUAGUUGGUAAGGUAACGGCUUACCAAGGCAACGAUGCGUAGCCGACCUGAGAGGGUGAGCAGCCACACUGGAACUGAGACACGGUCCAGACUCCUACGGGAGGCAGCAGUGGGGAAUAUUGGACAAUGGGCGAAAGCCUGAGCCAGCCACGCCGCGUGUGUGAAGAAGGUCUUCGGAUUGUAAAGCUCUUUAAGUGGGGAAGAAGAACAGUAAAUUAAUACCUGGCUGUUUUGACGUUACCAACAGAAAAAGCACCGGCUAACUUCGUG
rnacentral:rRNA from 1 species